rnacentral:rRNA from 1 species
GCCUACGGGGCGCAGCAGUAGGGAAUCUUCCACAAUGGGCGAAAGCCUGAUGGAGCAACGCCGCGUGGGUGAAGAAGGUCUUCGGAUCGUAAAACCCUGUUGUUAGAGAAGAAAGUACGUGAGAGUAACUGUUCACGUUUCGACGGUAUCUAACCAGAAAGCCACGGCUAACUACGUGCCGGCAGCCGCGGUAAUACGUAGGUGGCAAGCGUUAUCCGGAUUUAUUGGGCGUAAAGGGAACGCAGGCGGUCUUUUAAGUCUGAUGUGAAAGCCUUCGGCUUAACCGGAGUAGUGCAUUGGAAACU